rnacentral:rRNA from 1 species
UACGGAGGGGGCUAGCGUUGUUCGGAAUUACUGGGCGUACAGCGCGCGCAGGCGGACCGCCACGUGCCGUGUGACAAGCCACUGCUCAACAGUGGAGGGCCAGGGUACACGAGCGGUCUGGAGGCAGGGAGAGGGAUGUGGAAUGCCCGGUGGAGCGGUGAAAUGCGUAGAGAUCGGGCGGAACACCAGCGGCGAAGGCGGCAUCCUGGUCCUGUUCUGACGCUGAGGCGCGAGAGCGUGGGGAGCGAACUGG